GAAUAAAAAGGAGUUGAUAGCAGUGAGUAGACAUAAUAAUAAUAAUGAAUGAAAAGUGACUGACUGCUUUUUUCCACUCCAAACUCUUUUCCACUGAGGAUGUGAUGCAGCAACUUCUUCAUGGCAGAAGGACUCAGACUCAUCAGACUCUCUGACGCCUCCUCACCUGCAAGUUAGUCAUGUCUUUAGGAAGAUGUUUGCUGUGCUGAACAUCUGAGACUGCGAGCUAACUCUGUGGCCAUCACCUGCAUGAUGAGUCCUGUCCUCAGUCUCAGCAUGUCUCCAAACAAGGACGGCUGCGAGCGCACGUACAUGGCCAGGAGGAAGACCGACUGUUAUCUGCUUGUGGUGAGAAAUAAGACCCUGAACCUGUGCCAUGAAGGACAGGAUGUCUCUGGUUGUGUGUUGAGCACUGAAGACGUGCUGCUGCCCCCUCUGGAUGGGAGGAAGAUGACAUGUGCUGGCAGUGAUGUGGAGCAACUGAGUC